CCUCUUCACUCUGGCUUGCUGAUAGUUUUAUCUUGCAGCAUUAUUCUGAACGUUGCUCUCAUUUGUAUAAGAUGUAAACUGACCUGUACACACUGUGCAGAUGAAAAGAACAGUGAUAUAUCAAAAGUGGAAUGGUCACGCAAGCAAUGCCAUGACGAGGACACACUGAAUUACGCUGCCCUGAACCUUAAGAAGCAAAACCCAGGAGACAGAAGAAAGACGGGAAUAAUGACACUCUGUAUUCUGACCUCCC